rnacentral:rRNA from 1 species
AGAGUUUGAUCCUGGCUCAGGACGAACGCUGGCGGCGUGCCUAAUACAUGCAAGUCGAGCGAAUCAUUGGGAGCGCAGCUCUUAUGGUUAGCGGCGGACGGGUGAGUAACACGUGGGCAACCUGCCUGUAAGACUGGGAUAACACCGGGAAACCGGUGCUAAUACCGGAUAAUUCUUUCCUUCACAUGAGGGAAAGCUGAAAGUCGGUUUUGGCUGACACUUACAGAUGGGCCCGCGGCGCAUUAGCUAGUUGGUGAGGUAACGGCUCACCAAGGCGACGAUGCGUAGCCGACCUGAGAGGGUGAUCGGCCACACUGGGACUGAGACACGGCCCAGACUCCUACGGGAGGCAGCAGUAGGGAAUCUUCCGCAAUGGACGAAAGUCUGACGGAGCAACGCCGCGUGAGUGAUGAAGGCCUUCGGGUCGUAAAACUCUGUUGUUAGGGAAGAACAAGUACCGGAGUAACUGCCGGUACCUUGACGGUACCUAACCAGAAAGCCACGGCUAACUACGUGCCAGCAGCCGCGGUAAUACGUAGGUGGCAAGCGUUGUCCGGAAUUAUUGGGCGUAAAGCGCGCGCAGGCGGUCCUUUAAGUCUGAUGUGAAAGCCCACGGCUCAACCGUGGAGGGUCAUUGGAAACUGGGGGACUUGAGUGCAGAAGAGGAAAGCGGAAUUCCACGUGUAGCGGUGAAAUGCGUAGAGAUGUGGAGGAACACCAGUGGCGAAGGCGGCUUUUCUGGUCUGUAACUGACGCUGAGGCGCGAAAGCGUGGGGGAGCAAACAGGAUUAGAUACCCUG